GAUGAACGCUAGCUACAGGCUUAACACAUGCAAGUCGAGGGGAAACGGCAUUGAGUGCUUGCACUCUUUGGACGUCGACCGGCGCACGGGUGAGUAACGCGUAUCCAACCUUCCCAUUACUGUGGGAUAACCUGCCGAAAGGCAGACUAAUACCGCAUAGUCUUCGAUGACGGCAUCAGAUUUGAAGUAAAGAUUUAUCGGUAAUGGAUGGGGAUGCGUCUGAUUAGCUUGUUGGCGGGGUAACGGCCCACCAAGGCAACGAUCAGUAGGGGUUCUGAGAGGAAGGUCCCCCACAUUGGAACUGAGACACGGUCCAAACUCCUACGGGAGGCAGCAGUGAGGAAUAUUGGUCAAUGGACGGAAGUCUGAACCAGCCAAGUAGCGUGCAGGAUGACGGCCCUAUGGGUUGUAAACUGCUUUUGUAUGGGGAUAAAGUUAGGGACGUGUCCCUAUUUGCAGGUACCAUACGAAUAAGGACCGGCUAAUUCCGUGCCAGCAGCCGCGGUAAUACGGAAGGUCCAGGCGUUAUCCGGAUUUAUUGGGUUUAAAGGGAGCGUAGGCUGGAGAUUAAGUGUGUUGUGAAAUGUAGACGCUCAACGUCUGAAUUGCAGCGCAUACUGGUUUCCUUGAGUACGCACAACGUUGGCGGAAUUCGUCGUGUAGCGGUGAAAUGCUUAGAUAUGACGAAGAACUCCGAUUGCGAAGGCAGCUGACGGGGGCGCAACUGACGCUUAAGCUCGAAGGUGCGGGUAUCAAACAGG
rnacentral:rRNA from 1 species